GAAGGGCAGGUGGGUGGAGGAAGGGCAGGAGGGUGGAGGAAGGGCAGGUGGGUGGAGGAAGGGCAGGUGGGUGGAGGAAGGGCAGGAGGGUGGAGGAAGGGCAGGUGGGUGGAGGAAGGGCAGGAGGGUGGAGGAAGGGCAGGAGGGUGGAGGAAGGGCAGGUGGGUGGAGGAAGGGCAGGUGGGUGGAGGAAGGGCAGGAGGGUGGAGGAAGGGCAGGAGGGUGGAGGAAGGGCAGGAGGGUGGAGGAAGGGCAGGAGGGUGGAGGAAGGGCAGGAGGGUGGAGGAAGGGCAGGUGGGUGGAGGAAGGGCAGGAGGGUGGAGGAAGGGCAGGAGGGUGGAGGAAGGGCAGGUGGGUGGAGGAAGGGCAGGUGGGUGGAGGAAGGGCAGGAGGGUGGAGGAAGGGCAGGAGGGUGGAGGAAGGGCAGGAGGGUGGAGGAAGGGCAGGUGGGUGGAGGAAGGGCAGGAGGGUGGAGGAAGGGCAGGUGGGUGGAGGAAGGGCAGGAGGGUGGAGGAAGGGCAGGGG
ensembl:lncRNA